rnacentral:rRNA from 1 species
AGAGUGACGGGCGAUAUGUGCACAUUCAAUAUAAGGGUCAUUUAAGCAUAUUAAACAUGAAAUUACUUUCAAAUCCAUUUUUUUUUAUUUUUUUAAAAAUAAAUUCCAGUUUUUGUUAAAUUGUAAUCCACCUUAUCCUAGCUAAUGCUGCACCUGGAUCUAUUUUUUUUAAUUUUUUUUUUAAUUUGAAUAACCUUUUUAAAAAGGUAUUUAUACAACGGUAUACAUACUUUUAGCAGGUAAGAUAUAUCGUGGGGUAUCGUUUAUUAGGCAGAUUCCUCUGAGAGUAUAGAAUGCCGCCAAGUUCUUUAGGUUUCAAGAUAGUAACUAUUAGUACCU